rnacentral:rRNA from 1 species
AUUGCCUCAGUAACGGCGAGUGAAGCGGCAACAGCUCAAAUUUGAAAUCUGGCCCCAGGCCCGAGUUGUAAUUUGCAGAGGAUGCUUUUGGUGAGGUGCCUUCCGAGUUCCCUGGAACGGGACGCCAUAGAGGGUGAGAGCCCCGUCUGGUCGGACACCGAGCCUCUGUAAAGCUCCUUCGACGAGUCGAGUAGUUUGGGAAUGCUGCUCUAAAUGGGAGGUAUAUGUCUUCUAAAGCUAAAUACCGGCCAGAGACCGAUAGCGCACAAGUAGAGUGAUCGAAAGAUGAAAAGCACUUUGAAAAGAGAGUUAAAUAGCACGUGAAAUUGUUGAAAGGGAAGCGUUUAUGACCAGACUUGGCCCGGUUGAUCAUCCAGCGUUCUCGCUGGUGCACUCUGCCGGUCCAGGCCAGCAUCAGUUCGUCGCGGGGGAUAAAGGUUUCGGGAAUGUGGCUCCUCCGGGAGUGUUAUAGCCCGUUGCGUAAUACCCUGCGGUGGACUGAGGUCCGCGCUUCUGCAAGGAUGCUGGCGUAAUGGUCAUCAACGACCCGUCUUGAAACACGGACCAAGGAGUCGUCUUCGUAUGCGAGUGUUCGGGUGUAAAACCCCUACGCGUAAUGAAAGUGAACGCAGGUGAGAGCUUCGGCGCAUCAUCGACCGAUCCUGAUGUUCUCGGAUGGAUUUGAGUAAGAGCAUACGGGGCCGGACCCGAAAGAAGGUGAACUAUGCCUGUAUAGGGUGAAGCCAGAGGAAACUCUGGUGGAGGCUCGCAGCGGUUCUGACGUGCAAAUCGAUCGUCAAAUAUGGGCAUGGGGGCGAAAG